CUGCCCCCAUCCCCCCCGUCCGCCGCCGCCGCUCCCAUCCUCCCCGUCCGCCGUCGCGCCGUCGCGGGUCUCCUCGCGCAAGCGCACGACCUCCACCAAGGCCGUGCCCGCGGCCGACCGCGGGGCUCCUCGGCCAAGCGCGUGUCUUCCGCCAAGCCCGCGCCCGAUGCUGACCAGAAGGCCACGGUCGCCAAGCGCCCGCACAAGGGAACCACGUCGGGGAGGAAGAAGUCGGCGCCCAAGUCCGUUGCUGCGGCACACCCUCUCUAGCCGCCUCUCAUCGUCCUCGCGCUCGGCAGAAGGAGGACGAGGACGUUGAGCGGACAUGGACUAUCACUCUCUCCGCGGGCAAGCUCGAGCGCUACGGCAUUAGCGAGGACCUCCGCGAGUUCGUCAAUGGCAUGACCAUGAGUUGGAGCUGUCGGAUGUGUCCACGUUGUUGAAUAUGCCUCAGCAUCUGAACGAAUAGCAGGCUAGGCAUACCACUCACGUCCUCUCACCCGUCAGGAUUUUGUUUCCAUUAACCAUUUCAGUGAUGGGAGAUUUGGUUUAUGUGGCUCUCCAUCGAUGGAAUGCCAAUGAAUGCACAUAUGAACAUACAUACAUAGUUCUAUUUUGCUUUAGAAUUCAGUGUCAGGUACCAUCCCUCCAUGAGGUUUUAUCCAGUGUCUUUCUCUUUCCUUAAUAAUUGUUGCACUUUUGAUUGAAGAAAACUUCAUGGAGGUUGCUGAUUUGGAGCUCAGCUAGGGAUGCUCUGAAUUUCAUGGUUGUUGCUUGAUGUGGAAUGUAUAGUCUUCACUGCACAUCAUGUGGUUGAUGCUUAGUUCUUGUUUUUUUUCAAAUGCAACUGGAACCGGCGACCAGCCCUUCCUCGCCCUUAGCCUCGACACCACCACUGACGCCUCCAGGAGCAGUGGGGCAUCGCCGGUGGUGCCGGCAAGGCAAUGGUUGUGGUUAGGCUUUAGUGCUAGGUUCCUCACAGUUGUAGCUGUUGGGGAACACUGCUAUGCUCGAUGUCCGGUGGUGGGGUUUGGGCACGCCACUGGUGCUCCUUCAGAUUGGCAUGGAUGCCUCCGCGCUCGGAGUCUGCUGUAUCUACGGGUUCCUAGGUGCUGUCAUAUGCUCCAGAUUUUAUAUGGCCCAUUGUAUAGGAUGCAGUUUGGAUUAUUAAUCUGGAACAGCUAUACCAUGGAGGUGUUGUUUAAGGUCCCUUGCUAAUUUUAUCUUAAGCUGCAGUACUGCAUCUUUGGUUCAGUGCUGCGUUGCUCGGUUCGUUUGCUUGGUUCCUUUGCUCGGCUCAGGAGGUUAGGAGACCAUCAACCAUAAGGAGGAGGAAUAACAAAGAAGUUCAGAAGCCAAGGACCAUCUUCAACCUGAUUUUAGGCAUCCUCAAGUAAAGGAGUAGUUGAAUGUUAAUUGGCUGGUGGCGGCAUUGUUCAAGUAUGGGAAAUGAUGAGCUCUUUCUUCUUUUUAUGCCAGCUCUAUGCCGUAGGUAGGAGACUGAUGUUGUGAGAACGCUUGGAUGCAAGCACCCAUCUUUCGUGAGAGAGACCCAUGUUGAUUCAAUAAUUGAAUGCAUAGGCUUAAACCAGAGGAUAUAGCAGUGGAAGAACAAGUUUUAUGUCUGUCGAGGUGCUUUCUUAUUUAUUUGACAUGAUAAAGCAUGGACCUUCUUGCUCGUUCGUCGCUACGCAUCUCAGCUCCAGUAACCAGGUUGCGAUGGCUGACGAUGAGCUCCAGGUUCAUGGCUCGCCAGGCUCCUCUUCGGUCGUCGCUACGCAUCUCAGCUCCAGUAAACAGGUCGCGAUGGCUGACGAUGAGCUCCAGGUUCAUGGCUCACCAGGCUCCGCUGGCUCCACCAACAGUUGUCUACGAACACUUGCACAGAUUAUACUAUCGUAUCAGUCUUCACUUCUGAGCUACUCUUGCUAUGAUUCACGCAUACUUGAUGGAAACCCAGCGAGUGUUCAGGAUCCCACACAGAACAGUUCUUGACAGCCUCCUAGCGCAUCUUGAGUUAUCUCCAGACGAGUACGAGCGUGUUGUUCAUGAGGAUGGCAAGAUCCAUGUAACCGUCUCUUUCAACACCUCCACAAUUAACCUUGGGUGACCAAUCAGCGACAUUUCUGUGCCAGGGCUUUAUUGCACCGACGAUGAGGCUGCCGAGGAUACCGCUAUGAUAAAGGCUAUCAUAUACAUAGAGGACAUGACAAACACGGUUGUUAGAGACUUGAACCUUGCUUCGUCCAAACGACAUCAGCGCCAUGCCGAGCACUUCCUGCAGCAGUUAGAGGAGUCAAGGACCAAUAAAAGGAUGCUUGCUAGAGGUUGGCUUCUUGCCGUCAGAUACAUGCAUUACUUUUCUGUGCACAUUAGAAAUGUGGUUGCCAUGGACUAUGUUGGAGAUCUUCCUGACACAAUGGAAGACACAAGCAGCCGCUUGGAAGGACAUUUGGAAAAAAGGUCGCUCUAUUAGAUGGCGCCUCUCCUAAUUCACAGCUGCUCCAAUGCGUAUCAAGGUUCCAUGUGAGGCGGUCCUUGUGAAGUACAUCGACAAGGCAGAUGAAUUACGCCACUUGUUAGUAUGCUUAGUGAUUAUGGCUUCGUAGUUGGCUCUCCUUAUGUAUUCUCGCUUUUGGUAUCGAACUUUGUGUUGAAUGGCCGUCUUUUGUGGUCGGAUGAACGCACUUGAUGUUGAUCUUGAGAUCCAUUGUGUUUUAUUUCUAUCGCAAUUCAAUGUU